UACGUAGGGUGCAAGCGUUAUUCGGAAUUACUGGGCGUAAAGCGUGCGCAGGCGGCUUUGUAAGUCAGAUGUGAAAUCCCCGGGCUCAACCUGGGAACUGCAUUUGUGACUGCAUCGCUGGAGUACGGCAGAGGGGAAUGGAAUUCCGCGUGUAGCAGUGAAAUGCGUAGAUAUGCGGAGGAACACCGAUGGCGAAGGCAAUCCCCUGGGCCUGUACUGACGCUCAUGCACGAAAGCGUGGGGAGCAAACAGG
rnacentral:rRNA from 1 species